ACACGCACCGAAGGCACUGAGACUUGACGAUGCAUCUUCACACCCGAGUGUGCUGAGGGCUUUCAGGAUGGGGCCCAUACUAAAACCUUUCCUCUCUGGUUGUGUUGCUGCAUGAUGUGGUUCUGUACCAGCAUGGAGCCUGAGGAUGUGUCUGAGUGACUGGCAGGACACCUAGAGGUUUGGGAGCAACUGAUAUCCACUUCCACAAACAGCAGACAAGUAAAUGAUGUAAGUAACUGCACUGGACUAUCUGUGUUAACUCUCAUUCACAGAUCAUCCCUAGGCUUUAAUAUUAUAUAUAU
rnacentral:lncRNA from 1 species